rnacentral:rRNA from 1 species
CCUACGGGUGACUGCAGUGGGGAAUAUUGCACAAUGGGGGGAACCCUGAUGCAGCAACGCCGCGUGAGUGAAGAAGUAUUUCGGUAUGUAAAGCUCUAUCAGCAGGGAAGAAGAUGACGGUACCUGAGUAAGAAGCCCCGGCUAACUACGUGCCAGCAGCCGCGGUAAUACGUAAGGGGCAAGCGUUAUCCGGAUUUACUGGGUGUAAAGGGAGCGUAGACGGCGAGGCAAGUCUGGAGUGAAAGCCCGGGGCUCAACCCCGGGACUGCUUUGGAAACUGCCUGGCUGGAGUGCUGGAGAGGCAAGCGGAAUUCCUAGUGUAGCGGUGAAAUGCGUAGAUAUUAGGAAGAACACCAGUGGCGAAGGCGGCCUGCUGGACAUUAACUGACGCUGAGGCGCGAAAGCGUGGGGAGCAAACAGGAUUAGAUACCCCUGUAGUC